GACGAACGCUGGCGGCGUGCCUAAUACAUGCAAGUUGAGCGCUGAAGGUCGGUGCUUGUACCAACUGGAUGAGCAGCGAACGGGUGAGUAACGCGUGGGGAAUCUGCCUUUGAGCGGGGGACAACAUUUGGAAACGAAUGCUAAUACCGCAUAAAAACUUUAAACACAAGUUUUAAGUUUGAAAGAUGCAAUUGCAUCACUCAAAGAUGAUCCCGCGUUGUAUUAGCUAGUUGGUGAGGUAAAGGCUCACCAAGGCGAUGAUACAUAGCCGACCUGAGAGGGUGAUCGGCCACAUUGGGACUGAGACACGGCCCAAACUCCUACGGGAGGCAGCAGUAGGGAAUCUUCGGCAAUGGACGAAAGUCUGACCGAGCAACGCCGCGUGAGUGAAGAAGGUUUUCGGAUCGUAAAACUCUGUUGGUAGAGAAGAACGUUGGUGAGAGUGGAAAGCUCAUCAAGUGACGGUAACUACCCAGAAAGGGACGGCUAACUACGUG
rnacentral:rRNA from 1 species